rnacentral:tRNA from 1 species
GCACUAAUGGGGUAGUGGUAACCUGGGUCGUUGCCAUCGACCCGCAGGGGGUUCGAUUCCCCCUUAGUGCA